AUGGAGUCAGUCUUUGAAAAUGUUUUCUACCUUAUGAUACUAAGCCUAGUAUCUGGACCACAGAACAAGGACUUUGUAGCAGUUCCAGGUGUUAUGCCCAGAAAAAAAUGUGAAGAGGAAGAAGAAGGAUCAUUACUUAUUGGUACUCUUCAUCAUGAAGAAUUGUUUCCCAGAAUUCCUGCCCUGUUUCUUUUUCUCAAAAGAAAUCUUCUCAAAAUUUAUUUGCCAGAAUUAGGUCAUGUGCCCAUUAUCAAAUCUAUCACUGGCAGAGGGAAUGGGGUCACCACAAUUGGCUUGGACUAAACCUGUCACACGGAGUUUAGCUGCAUUUCCUUCUUCUUUAAAAAAGGUUUUCUUUGUGUGUGUUUUUUUAUUUGUUUGUUUGUUUGUUUUUUAUUAGUAUCUGUGUAUUUUUUGGAAUCUAAUCAAGAAACUUACCUUUGCUAUGGCUAUUAGGGGGUCCACCUGACCCCAAAGUGAGAAUCAUGGGCAGACCGAAGUAGUCUGGCCACCGGAUUUUGUGAAAAGACAAGAAUAUUUUAGGCAGACAUAUUUACAUUCAAAUUCUGACUCAGUCACUAGUGACAUGAGCUUUGCUUACACCUCUUAUGCUUCAGUUUCCUCUUCUAUGAAACCUACCUCACGAGUCUUUUUGCAUGACAAAAUUAAAUAAUGCAGCAUGCCUGGCACAUAGUAGGCACUUACAUACAUGUUAUUAUUGCUAAUAAUAUUAAUAUUAAUAUAAUCAAAAACUAGAAGAAAGACCGUUUGUUGUAUCUUAUCCAAUAUCUUUUUUCGCCUGGUAAUGUUAAGUGUAUAUUACCCUGUUUCCUUUCCAACAAACCCUGUGUCAAUAUAGAUAGUUCUCAUGUUUUACGCAAAUGUAGCUUGAAAAAUAUGUCUGUCCUCAAUGUUCAAAAACAGGGGCAUAGUUAAUUAAAUUGGGGUAAGACUGCAUGGUGAAAAUUUAAACGUUAGUGAUGAUGUUUAUGUAGCAUUUUUAGUAACAUGGGGAAUUAUUUAUGUUAUAAUAUUAAAAAUGUGUUUCCAAAAUAUAUACAUAAUAUGAUCUCAGCUAUGGAAAAGAAAAACAUUCAGUGGAAAAAAGCUUAAAGGGAAGAGCACCAAAUUCAAUAAAAUUUGCAUCUCAUUGGAGAAAUUAUGUGUGAUUUUUUUCCUCUUUAAUUCUGUAUUAUCCUGAUUACAUUUUUCAGUGUGUAGUAGCUAUAAAAUUAAACUUUAUUGAAAAUAGAAAUAUAAAUAUGGACAUAUAGAUAGAUACAUAGAUCUUAUCAGUUAUUGAGCUUCUACCACACAAACAUAGCUUUGUGUUAAACUCACUGUAUAGGCAUUGCCUCAUGAAUUUUGUGCUAAUGUCCCAGGAGGUUGACACCAUUAUUUCUAUUAUUAUUUCCAUAUGAUGACAUUGGGUCUUAACAGAGGUAAGCAAAUUACCAAGAUCGCCCAUUCAUAUGAGGGAGCUGGGUUUAGAGGUGCUAGCCCCCAGCACCUGUGAUUUGGACCACUUCAAAUACCUCUCCCAUUAUAAAGCAGAGACUCUAAGAUAGGGAAUCUUCUAUAGGUGAUUUAAAUAUACAACCAGGUGACCUGAAAGACAUUAUUCAGCGCAGAGAUUCUUUGAUUUCAUGAGAGAGUAAAGUGGAAUGCAUGGUUUGGAUCUGUGAGUGUCCAGCAGAAAUUGAUGUGCAAGUAAGUGAGAAAUGCAUGGUUUUGGUACAGGUGAAAUAAGGAAGAGCAAGAUGAAAGUCAUGGGAAGCAGAAAGUGACAUUUCUAUUUUCCUGAUUAUAUUACUGUAUAUGCAUAUGUAGACAUUGAGUAUUUCUGGUAGAGACUGUUGUAUACUGGACUUCCCAGUAUGUAGCUUUCAUUUCACACAACACUGUGGCAUGAAGACAUUUGCCUUUCAGGGUGUGAAACAAUGCUUGGCAAGUAAGAGUGGAAGCUGCUUUGUCUUGGAAUGGGAGACACAUGUAGUUUGUUUAAAAGUCAAAUCAUUAAGUAUAUAAAUUAAGCUGAAACAGCUAACAUAGGCAUAUGAUUCACCAACGCUGGCUAUGUCAAGAUAAGAUCUGUGCUGGCAUUUUUAUGACCAUAGCGACUCCAGCAAGGAUUCUAUAGUGGUGAGAUAAGUUGAAAGAAGUUACUUGAGUUAAAUUCCAUAGUCAUGGUUAAAUCUGAUCCUCCACAUUUUAAUGAUUUCCUUGAUGUUCACCAAUAUGAUGAUUUGACUGUGAAAAAUUGUUCGUUGAAUUUGGUUAGACCUUGACUAUGUGAGUUGGAAAGAGAGCAGUCCCACAAAAACAAAGAAAGCAACGAACAAAAACCCAUACCGUUUGCGCUACUGUCUGUGAAUUUUGUCCAUGUCAUGUUGAAAAAUUACAAAUGGAAAGACCGUGUUUGUUGCUAAUGGCUAUUCCUAGAUGACUUAAAAUGGACAGAUCUCAGUGUCUUCAAUGUCAUUGUGCAACAGAUUAUUUUUAAAUGUCAAUAUCAAUCUAUACAUGCUUCCUGAACUGAAAUAUGAUUUGGGAAUGGAAUUGGAUAUGACCUCCACACAGUGAAAUCUACCAGAUCAUGAUAUGGCAAUAAAAUAUUGAUAGCGCUUGCAAAUUGAUCAUUGGAGAGGUGCUUGGGAAGUGU
ensembl:lincRNA